rnacentral:rRNA from 1 species
CUACGGACUGCUCCAGUGGGGAAUAUUGCACAAUGGGCGCAAGCCUGAUGCAGCCAUGCCGCGUGUAUGAAGAAGGCCUUCGGGUUGUAAAGUACUUUCAGCGGGGAGGAAGGGAGUAAAGUUAAUACCUUUGCUCAUUGACGUUACCCGCAGAAGAAGCACCGGCUAACUCCGUGCCAGCAGCCGCGGUAAUACGGAGGGUGCAAGCGUUAAUCGGAAUUACUGGGCGUAAAGCGCACGCAGGCGGUUUGUUAAGUCAGAUGUGAAAUCCCCGGGCUCAACCUGGGAACUGCAUCUGAUACUGGCAAGCUCGAGUCUCGUAGAGGGGGGUAGAAUUCCAGGUGUAGCGGUGAAAUGCGUAGAGAUCUGGAGGAAUACCGGUGGCGAAGGCGGCCCCCUGGACGAAGACUGACGCUCAGGUGCGAAAGCGUGGGGAGCAAACAGGAUUAGAUACCCGCGUAGUC